CGUGAUGACGCAGGCGCGCGGCGCGUGUGGCGUGUGUGGUGGCAGUCAUGGCGCACGGUAAGGUCUUGUGUCGGCGGGACUCUCCCGGAUAUGUUCUUCAUCCGAGGCCAUCCGGGAUCCCAGGCGGGGCCCGCCAUCUGCUAAGACUGGUGUGCUGACCUGUAGAAGAAUGUGGAAGAAAGGCUGUCUUGUACAAUGACACGAUGACACAGAUAACCCCUGGGACUGAUGAAGCGGAUGCCCAGCGGUGGAAACCCACAGCGCCAGCACGCCAGGGAGGGUGCGGCGGGCUUGGGGCCCAGGACUUUGCCCCUCAUCUCUGUGAGCGGGUUCCAGUCUUUGCCGGCUCCCCUUCUGCAAGGAGUCGGGAGUUGCUGGCUCUUACUGGGGUCUGGGCGGCUCAGGCCCUAGCAUCUGACUGAUCCUCUCUGAGCCCAGAUGGGAUGCUCUUUCUUCAGCCUGCUUCCAGAACAAGGACCUAGGCCCCUCUGGCAUUUCCUGAAUGAGAAAUCAGGGACAUUUAAUAAAGAGAUUUUAAAUGUG